AGUAUCUAUCCCAAAGACCAGGGAGAAAGGAAGGAAAGAUUCUGGUUCUGUCCUCUUCCCCAAGGCAAGGCUGGCUGCCCUACCAACAGAGGCAAAGAGAAGAGUGUGCAAGGCUGGCUGCCCUCCCAACAGAGGCAAAGAGGAGUGUGUGUUGAAAUAUCCAUUGAAUCCCUGAGACAACUGGAUCCUGGCCCAUUGAAUCAUAAACUCAUUAUGGAGGCUGGGAAGACCUAGAAUGUGGCAUCACUAUUUGGAAACCAUGCCGAUUACCGACCGAGCUCUCAAUGGAAAAAUGCAGUCGGCGUGAACCACGCACGAACACAGCAGAGAAAGAAGAAAACACACACCACGAGGAACCCUAAUAGGACAAUACAUUAUAAGUCACAGUGCUACGGAGAAACCCAGUAGCCACAUGGAAGCAGAGACCAUGCAUAUGCAUCUACUCCGCAGCUCUGUGAAUGUCAGCAGCUCCCACGGACUGGAGAUCCCGUGAGAUCCCGUGAGAUCUCACCCAUAGCCUCAUGGUACAUCCACUUGGUGUGCUGGGAGAGUCAGGAUGAGGACCUGAGAAGAACAGCAGCUUGAACCUGACUUCAUUUAACAGCCCACUGCCCUCUUGCCAAGAACCCAUCACAGACCUUCCCAGAAGAGAGGGAUGAGCCUCACCUAUGAAUAAGUCCUCAGAAACUCAAAUUUGAUUCUAAUGGAUUGUUUUCUCAGAAAGACUGAGCAUGUCCCCCCACAUCUCUGUCAUUUCCCACAGUAGUAACCUCUGCAGAUGCCACAUAGAAAACAAAACAAAACAAAAAAACAUGAGGUUGGUGGGCAGAUAGGCAGGGUAUAAACAAACAGCCUUGUAACCCAGAAGCUGUGUGAUAUACAGUAAACUUCACAACACUGAAAAGAUGUCCUAUCUGUUAAAAUGGGGUAAUAACAACUACCCGAAUGUUUAGGAAUAGAACUUCAAUAAAUGAUACAUUUUAUAGUACAGCA
rnacentral:lncRNA from 1 species